rnacentral:sRNA from 1 species
CUGUCUCCAUCCCCUCCCUUGCUGGCCAGCCAGUUGAUAAACAUUGAAUUUGGAAGAUGCCUUGGGAUGGAGGAGGACCAGUGCCCAGGCCUGCAGCCCACCCUCCCGCUGGGAGGCCCCUGAGAGCACUGGGGUGCUGCUGCCCUGUUUCUGGGGAUGCUUGGCUUCCCUACCAGCCACCGUCUCCUGCCUUCCAUCAGCUCGGCUCUAGCCUCGGGGCCUCUCGGGGUGGUGUCCCCAGUGACGUGCCUGCCUGCCUGCCGUCAGAGAGCUGGCGGGGCUGAGGGAAGGAAGCCUGCCUCCCUGGCAGGCAAGCAGGCAGCAGGCACGGAAGCACCAGCUUUCAUGUCUCUGGCAGAGCCCCGCUCCGGCUGCCUGCUGCCUGGGGGGUGUCCAGGGGCCGGCCCCCUGCUUCCAAGAGGGACAGCGUGCGUGGGUGUGGGGGCUCGGGUAGCCCGGCAGCCCUCUGUGGCCCUGGCCCAGGAGAGCGCAGGUUUUCUGGGAGGGCUGGGAGGAGGCGGCCAGGAGUGAGGACUGGGAAUUGUGAGCAGUGUGGGGGCACCACUGUGGGGAACAAAGCCCCCAGCCCCUGCCUGAAACCUGCUUCCUGGCCCUGGGCGUCAGGGCUGGCACUGCCCUGGUGUCCUCGCACAGUCACCUCUGUGUGCGGUCCGCGUCCUCAUGUCAUGAGGAAGGUCACCCUGGGCUAAGCCCACCUUUGAUGUCACGGUCACCUCACUUAUCUCUUCAAAGGCCCUACUGUUUGGGCUUCCUUCCAUUGGCUUUGGGGGGGCAAGCCUGCCUCCUAACACCCUCCGUUUGUUGGAGCUCCCAGGCUGCCUCCGGGGACCCUCUGCCAGGACACAGGCCACCCUUGCUGCCUGGUUCCCCACUCCCCAAGCCACUCACCUGGCAGGGCAUGUCUGGCACUUCUGGCCUGAGUGCCUGCUGGGCGCCCGCCCCCAGCCAGUUCUGUCCUCCUUCCUUUCCACCCAGGACAGCCCCGUCCUGCACUGCCGUGUCGCCCACUGCCGGGGCCUCUCUGGGACCGACAGGCCCCCUUCCUUCCACACACCAGGCCCUACCCCACCUGGACCCUCUGAAAUGUUCCUUGUUGACAAAUGGUCUUGCAGAAGGCGGGGAUGGCUCCUGCAGCCCCCACUCCUGCUCUGUGGGUGGACGCCCCGUCUCUCCCUCCCAGGCGCCGUGGUGCCAUCUCCCUCCCGGGCACCGUGGUGCCAUCUCCCUCCCGGACACCAUGAUGCUGCCUCCCUCCCAGGCACUGUGGUGCCAUCUCGCUGCCCAGGCACUGUGGUGCCAUCUCCCUCCCGGGCCCGUGGUGCCAUCUCCCUCCCGGGCACCGUGGUGCCGCCUCCCUCCCGGACACCGUGAUGCCGCCUCCCUCCCGGACACCAUGAUGCUGCCUCCCUCCCAGGCGCCGUGGUGCCAUCUCCCUCCCGGGCGUCUUGAGCUGCAAGGGCUCCUCUCUUGGCUUCGUUCCCCGGAGGGUGGUGCCGUUCUCGUUGGAGGGGGCGGCCGGGCGUUGGGCCGCGUGUGCAUGCAGCCCCUACAGAGUUGCUGCUCCGUGGGGGUUGGCGUGGGCCUCCUUUCGGAAGCUCUUCCUGGCAACACUGAGUGGGGCAAGGGGUUGGCAGCAGAGAGGCGGCUGGAUUUGGGACCCCAGUGUCCUGGGAGGCAGCUAGGGAGGGGCCGGCUCCAGGCCCUCAGGCUGUGUCAGGGCAGGGCGGGCACCCCCACUUCUCCCUGUCAGCCGAGGGAGCCAGGCAGGGGCAGCCUGAGACCUCCUGGGACAGUCCUGGUGGGGAGAGGCCCCUCAGCCUGUGCCUCCCUCAAAGGCCCUUCCCGGGCCCUGCUGUGGCUGGGGGGACAGUGUGACCCACCUUCCCUUUCUAGGCCCAGCUUGGUGACCGGGGUGGCUCCAUUCACCCUGGGUCCCUUACUGAAAUGGUGCCUGGGAACCAGGGCAGAGAACACCCUUUCCAGCGGUGGGAGAUGGAGGUGACGUGGACUCUGGGAGGCUCCUUUUUUGGGGUCCAUCCAGAGGCCGAGCCUCUCCAAGCACUGGUCAGCCUCCAUGCCACCCAGUCUGCCGACCCUCCUCUCCACCAUCCCCUCGUCCGAGCAGUGGCGAUCCCUCCCGAGUCAAGGCUGGGCACAAGCACAUGGGGACAGGCCGGGUAGGCUGCGUGCCUCAGUGCUCCCUGCACAGAGGUGCAGACAGAGCCCAGGUGCCCCAGGCCCGGCUGCCAAGCCUACUUCCCUCUCCUAGUGUUCCCGAGUCCUGCCUGCCCCUUUCUGUGCGUCCCGUGAGGGAGUGCUGGUUGAGGGUCCUAGCCUGUGGGGGCUAUGAUGAAAACCAGGUGCCUCUCUGCAUCGGUGGCUUCUGAGGGAGCCCUCUUGCCCGGCAGCAGGUGGGAUGCAGAUGGGGCUGGCCAGGCCUCCUGUGCCCACAGCAGCCUCUGGGCAGUGUCUCCUGGGCUUCUGUGAGCAGCCGCAGCCUGGGUGUGAAUCUUGGAGGCCCGGUGGUGGCGGAGCAUGCUCUCCAUCUGGGAGAGGCCGAGACCACGGCGGCUCCUGGCGCUGUCCUUCCCGUGCCCCUUCCUGGCUCCCCAGUUUCCGGCGCCUCUCCAGGGCCACUCGGGCAGCCCCUGCCCACCCCACAGGCCCUUCUCUCCUCAUAAGGCUUUGAUCCCAGGCGGCACAAUUGGGUUUUCAAAGCAUUCACGGCCCUUGUUUGUGUCCCUGGGCCCCCGGCUGGAGGCUGAGGUUUCAGCGUUCCUGGGCCUGGCCUUUGAAGCUUCCUCUUAUUAAUCUUUUAACAUCCCCCAGCCCCACCCCCACCCCCAGCCUGUGGCCCCGAGCAGCCUGGAGCCGGGAGGGGGAAUCUGGAGCUGGGAGGGGGAUACCCCAGCCUGGCAGCUGCACCCCUCCACGGUGGUCCCGGCACAUCCGCCAGGACCCACCACGCCUGGCCCCACCUUCCUCGGGUGCAGAGGCCAGAGGAGGGAGGACUGUGAUGCUGCAUGGCUUGAGGACCCUCGAGGCCCCAGCGUUCAGCUGGCUUGGGGGUUGGGGUGGUCCCAUGGAGGGCGCUGGUCCCAGGAUGCCCUGGCCUUGCUUACAGGGGUAGGGUUGGUGUCAGACAGGAAGCUGGGUGAUGGGCUCAUGGGGGCCGGGCAGGCGGAGCCUGCCUGAGGGUGGAGCUGGGGCCUGGCCCUGGGGGGUGUGGCUGCCUCCACAGCAGGGGGGUGCUCUGCCCAUGGUGCCCACCCGGCCCCUGAGCCCCCCGCCCUCUCUGCAGGUGAACCUCUUCCCGACUGCUCUGGUGCACUUUGGAGCCGAGGAGCCGGCAGGUGAGUGUCGGUGGUUGGGGCCAGUGUUGGAGUCCAGCCAGCCUGUCCCUGGACCUCAGAGCCAGCUGCCCCGGAGGGCGUUCGGUCUGAGAGGGAGAUGUGUGGUGCCCAGUAGCCACCUCCCCGAGAGAGGACUGGGACAGCCACCUGCUGACCACCCCCCUCCCAGAGCUGAGUGCUGGUGGGCAGGUGCUGGGUGGAUGGUGAGUGGGCCCCUCCUCAGAGGCUGAGGGUGAGCUUGGGCCUCCCUGCAGGUGUCUACCUGGAGCCUGGCCUGCUGGAGCAUGCCAUCUCCCCAUCUGCGGCCGACGUGCUGGUGGCCAGGUAAGUGCCGGUGGGUCUGGGGGCACCUCCCGUGGCGGCACUCACCACUCUGUGUCUUCGCCUCCCCACAGGUACAUGUCCAGGGCUGCCAGGUCCCCUUCCCCAUUGCCAGCCCCUGACCCUGCACCUGAGUCUGAGCCAGCUGCUGAGGACGGGGCGCUGGUCCCCCCAGAGCCCAUCCCAGGGACGGCCCAGCCCGUGAAGAGGAGCCUGGGCAAGGUGCCCAAGUGGCUGAAGCUGCCUGCCAGCAAGAGGUGAGAGCUGCCAGCCCGAGGUGCCCACUCUGCCAGCCACAGGACCACCUCCCCUGCCAGCAGGAAUAAAGACUUGUGCAUCCCUC